CGAGCGACUUCGGUUUUUAUCGCCGUACAAAAGCCCGUGUUCAGCAGCGGCGCUGGACCCUCGCUGGACCCUGGAAGGGUUCCCCUCUGGCCGGCGGUUGAUGUCGUCAGCCGUGACUGCGGGUUCCCAGCGACGCCCAUGGGCCUGAACACAUCGCCUUGGCUGCGUCGUCUGAGCGUGGCAGCCAGAAGGCUCUGGCCCCUUUCAACAGAUGCUGCAGUAUUUGUAACCUUUGCAGAAGUGUCAGAACCCCUUUCUAAUAAUGGAUCAACGCUGGAAGCGUUCUCUGGUCAGUUCGGACGGGACCACUCUGAGUGAUACGUUUAGCGGAGGGAUCCGUGGCGGCCCUUACAGGAGCUGCAAAGCAUGUGCACCGUCCCGUUACGAAAGCUUCCUGUCCGGCAGUCAGGAAUUAGAUACUGGCAUCCAGGAAGCACGGAAGAGCUGACUGCCUUUUCCAGUUGCGUUGGCUGUCGCUCCCUCGGAACGGAUUGAUUUUUUUCGACUUAGGCUGUAAAAAGACCUCAGUAAGGCCUUUUCAACUCGGCCGUAAAAACGCUUAAUCAAUAAAAUCUUUGGAGACAAAUAUGUUUGAGUACAUUGACUCGAUUUCAUAUCCAAGCCCUAAAUUAACUGCGAGAUGCUGUCAAGCAUUAUGCAUCAUAUGUAAUAUUGUUUGUAUUUUAAAAAUUUGCAAAGACUUUACCCCUCCCCCCUUGAUUCAUGGAUGAUAUAAUGUACAUUUUAUUUGUGCAGCCAUUUGUGAAAUAGAUGUAUUGCGCAGAUAAGAGUUUGAGUUCACCCAUUCAUUCGCCCCUUACUGGUAAAUAUGUAACAUGCUUUGGAUACUUCCUAUCCUGUUCUACUGCAGAGUAUCCUUUUUCCUUGAAGCAUUACAGUAAUUGUGGAGUUUCCCUAAAAUCUGUAACAAAUAUCAAAGGAAUUCAGAGGCUUUUUGAUAAACUCAACACACAGCACGCUGCUUAAACAUACCCGUUAAGUGUUAAAGAGGGCGUCAGUCCCACAGGCUGAAUG